rnacentral:rRNA from 1 species
GGGUUUAAGGGUCCGUAGGCUGAUGUGUAAGUCAGUGGUGAAAUCUCACAGCUUAACUGUGAAACUGCCAUUGAUACUGCAAGUCUUGAGUGUUGUUGAAGUAGCUGGAAUAAGUAGUGUAGCGGUGAAAUGCAUAGAUAUUACUUAGAACACCAAUUGCGAAGGCAGGUUACUAAGCAACAACUGACGCUGAUGGACGAAAGCGUGGGGAGCGAACAGGAUUAGAUACCCUGGUAGUCCACGCCGUAAACGAUGCUAACUCGUUUUUGGGUUUUCGGAUUCAGAGACUAAGCGAAAGUGAUAAGUUAGCCACCUGGGGAGUACGGACGCAAGUCUGAAACUCAAG